rnacentral:lncRNA from 1 species
GGUCUGUAGGUCUGUAUCUGCAAGAAAAAAACAAAGUGCACAUUAGUUCCACAUUAAUACGACAAUUUUGGAAAAAGGGGCCACUAACAUUAAGGUCUACUUAACUGUUUGAGCUGGGGAGUCUGCGCAGUGGCGGUCUGGACCCCUUCCGUCUUGUCUGUAGGUCUGUAGGUCUGUAUCUGCAAGAAAAAAAAAAGUGCACAUUAGUUCCACAUUAAUACGACAAUUUUGGAAAAAGGGGCCACUAACAUUAAGGUCUACUUAACUUUUGAGCUGGGGAGUCUGCGCAGUGGCGGUCUGGACCCCUUCCGUCUUGUCUGUAGGUCUGUAGGUCUGUAUCUGCAAGAAAAAAACAAAGUGCACAUUAGUUCCACAUUAAUACGACAAUUUUGGAAAAAGGGUCCACUAACAUUAAGGUCUACUUAACUUUUGAGCUGGGGAGUCUGCGCAGUGGCGGUCUGGACCCCUUCCGUCUUGUCUGUAGGUCUGUAGG